UACGUAGGGGGCAAGCGUUGUCCGGAUUUAUUGGGCGUAAAGAGCGUGUAGGCGGCCUGAAAGGUCAGCUGUGAAAACUCGAGGUCUCAACCUCGAGACGUCGGUUGAAACCAUCUGGCUAGAGUCCGGAAGAGGAGUGUGGAAUUCCCGGUGUAGCGGUGAAAUGCGCAGAUAUCGGGAAGAACACCCGUGGCGAAGGCGGCACUCUGGGACGGUACUGACGCUGAGACGCGAAAGCGUGGGGAGCGAACAGG
rnacentral:rRNA from 1 species